rnacentral:rRNA from 1 species
UACGUAGGGUGCGAGCGUUAAUCGGAAUUACUGGGCGUAAAGAGUGCGUAGGCGGAUGCACAAGUUAGAUGUGAAAUACCCGAGCUUAACUUGGGAGGUGCAUUUAAUACUGUGAAUCUAGAGUUAGUAAGAGGAUGGGAGAAUUCCGAGUGUAGCAGUGAAAUGCGUAGAUAUUCGGAGGAAUAUCAGUGGCGAAGGCGCCCAUCUGGGAUAUAACUGACGCUGAGGCACGAAAGCGUGGGGAGCAAACAGG